UACGUAGGGUGCAAGCGUUGUCCGGAAUUAUUGGGCGUAAAGAGCUCGUAGGCGGUCUGUCACGUCGGAUGUGGAAAACUCGGGGCUCAACCCCCGAGCCUGCAUACGAUACGGGCAGACUUGAGUUCGGCAGGGAGACUGGAAUUCCUGGUGUAGCGGUGAAAUGCGCAGAUAUCAGGAGGAACACCGGUGGCGAAGGCGGGUCUCUGGGCCGAUACUGACGCUGAGGAGCGAAGCGUGGGGAGCGAACAGG
rnacentral:rRNA from 1 species